rnacentral:rRNA from 1 species
AGAGUUUGAUCCUGGCUCAGGAUAAACGCUGGCGACGUGCUUCAGGCAUGCAAGUCGAACGGACCUUCGGGUCAGUGGCGGACGGGUGAGUAACACGUAAGUAACCUGCCCAGAAGUGGGGAAUAACUAGCCGAAAGGCUGGCUAAUACCGCAUGUGAUGGUUGUUCCCUGGAGCAAUCAUGAAAGGCGAAAGUCGCUUCUGGAGGGGCUUGCGGCCGAUUAGCUAGUUGGUGGGGUAAUGGCCUACCAAGGCUUCGAUCGGUAGCUGGUCUGAGAGGACGGACAGCCACACGGGGACUGAGAUACGGCCCCGACUCCUACGGGAGGCAGCAGCUAGGAAUCUUGGGAAUGGGCGAAAGCCUGACCCAGCAACGCCGCGUGGGCGAUGAAGGCCUUCGGGUCGUAAAGCCCUUUUGCAGGGGACGAUGAUGACGGUACCCUGCGAAUAAGCCACGGCUAACUACGUGCCAGCAGCCGGUAAUACGUAGGUGGCAAGCGUUGUCCGGAUUUACUGGGCGUAAAGGGCGUGCAGGCGGUCUGUUAAGUUCAGGGUGAAAGCUCCCGGCUCAACUGGGAGAGGUCCUUGGAUACUGGCAGACUUGAGGAGGGUAGAGGAGAGUGGAAUUCCCGGUGUAGUGGUGAUAUGCGUAGAUAUCGGGAGGAACACCAGUGGCGAAGGCGGCUCUCUGGGCCCUACCUGACGCUGAGACGCGAAAGCGUGGGGAGCGAACCGGAUUAGAUACCCGGGUAGUCCACGCCGUAAACUAUGGACACUAGGUGUAAGGGGUAUCGACCCCCUUUGUGCCGAAGCUAACGCAAUAAGUGUCCCGCCUGGGGAGUACGGCCGCAAGGCUAAAACUCAAAGGAAUUGACGG